rnacentral:rRNA from 1 species
CCAUCCUCCAAGGCUAAAUACUCCUGACUGACCGAUAGUGAACCAGUACCGUGAGGGAAAGGCGAAAAGAACCCCGGCGAGGGGAGUGAAAAAGAACCUGAAACCGUAGUACGUACAAGCAGUGGGAG